rnacentral:rRNA from 1 species
CGCGUGAGGGAACGACGGCCUUUCGGGUUGUAAACCUCUUUUAGUAGGGGAAGAAGCGAAAAGUGACGGUACCUGCAGAAAAAGCACCCGGCUAAACUACGUGCCAGCAGCCGCGGUAAUACGUAGGGUGCAAGCGUUGUCCGGAAUUAUUGGGCGUAAAGAGCUCGUAGGCGGUUUGUCGCGUCUGCUGUGAAAACUGGAGGCUCAACCUCCAGCCUGCAGUGGGUACGGGCAGACUAGAGUGCGGUAGGGGAGAUUGGAAUUCCUGGUGUAGCGGUGGAAUGCGCAGAUAUCAGGAGGAACACCGAUGGCGAAGGCAGAUCUCUGGGCCGUAACUGACGCUGAGGAGCGAAAGCAUGGGGAGCGAACAGGAUUAGAUACCCUGGUAGUCCAUGCCGUAAACGUUGGGAACUAGAUGUGGGGGCCAUUCCACGGUCUCCGUGUCGCAGCUAACGCAUUAAGUUCCCCGCCUGGGGAGUACGGCCGCAAGGCUAAAACUCAAAGGAAUUGACGGGGGCCCGCACAAGCGGCGGAGCAUGCGGAUUAAUUCGAUGCAACGCGAAGAACCUUACCAAGGCUUGACAUAUACGAGAACGGGCCAGAAAUGGUCAACUCUUUGGACACUCGUAAACAGGUGGUGCAUGGUUGUCGUCAGCUCGUGUCGUGAGAUGUUGGGUUAAGUCCCGCAACGAGCGCAACCCUCGUUCUAUGUUGCCAGCACGUUAUGGUGGGAACUCAUAGGAGACUGCCGGGGUCAACUCGGAGGAAGGUGGGGAUGACGUCAAAUCAUCAUGCCCCUUAUGUCUUGGGCUUCACGCAUGCUACAAUGGCCGGUACAAAGGGCUGCAAUACCGUAAGGUGGAGCGAAUCCCAAAAAGCCGGUCUCAGUUCGGAUUGAGGUCUGCAACUCGACCUCAUGAAGUCGGAGUCGCUAGUAAUCGCAGAUCAGCAACGCUGCGGUGAAAUACGUUCCCGGGCCCUUGUACACACCGCCCGUCAAGUCAUGAAAAGUCGGUAAACACCCAAACGCCAGUGGCCUAACCCCUUGUGGGAGGGAGCUUGUUCUUAAGGGUGGGAUCGGUGAUUUAGGACUUAAGUUCGU